CCUACGGGGGACAGCAGUGAGGAAUAUUGGUCAAUGGUCGGGAGACUGAACCAGCCAAGCCGCGUGAGGGAUGAAGGUACAGAGUAUCGUAAACCUCUUUUGUCAGGGAACAAAGGCGGGGACGUGUCCCCGGAUGAGUGUACCUGAAGAAAAAGCAUCGGCUAACUCCGUGCCAGCAGCCGCGGUAAUACGGGGGAUGCGAGCGUUAUCAGGAUUUAUUGGGUUAAAGGGGUGCGCAGGCGGUCUGUUAAGUCAGCGGUAAAAGCCCGGGGCUCAACCCCGGCCCGCCGUUUAAACUGGCUGUCUCGAGUUGGAGAGAAGUAUGUGGAAUGCGCGGUGUAGCGGUGAAAUGCAUAGAUAUCGCGCAGAACUCCGAUUGCGAAGGCAGCAUGCCGGCUCCACACUGACGCUGAGGCACGAAAGCGUGGGUAUCGAACAGGAUUAGAUACCCCAGUAGUC
rnacentral:rRNA from 1 species